rnacentral:rRNA from 1 species
GACGAACGCUGGCGGCGUGCUUAACACAUGCAAGUCGAACGGAAAGGCCCUGCUUUUGUGGGGUGCUCGAGUGGCGAACGGGUGAGUAACACGUGAGUAACCUGCCCUUGACUUUGGGAUAACUUCAGGAAACUGGGGCUAAUACCGGAUAUGAGCUCCUGCUGCAUGGUGGGGGUUGGAAAGUUUCGGCGGUUGGGGAUGGACUCGCGGCUUAUCAGCUUGUUGGUGGGGUAGUGGCUUACCAAGGCUUUGACGGGUAGCCGGCCUGAGAGGGUUACCGGCCACAUUGGGACUGAGAUACGGCCCAGAAUCCUACGGGAGGCAGCAGUGGGGAAUAUUGCACAAUGGGCGGAAGCCUGAUGCAGCAACGCCGCGUGCGGGAUGACGGCCUUCGGGUUGUAAACCGCUUUCGCCUGUGACGAAGCGUGAGUGACGGUAAUGGGUAAAGAAGCACCGGCUAACUACGUG